rnacentral:lncRNA from 1 species
AUGACACCUGUGCCCAGGAUGGUGGGCCAGAAUAUAUAUGAUUUCUACUUAUCCUCAUCAUUCUGCCUGGAAUAUAAUCUUCCUGAAACAGUCUUUUCUUCUGAGAUGAAGAGAUUUUGUCAAAGGUGUUCCCUGGGAAGGAGGAAGGACUUUAGAAGAGCAGAUAAAGUCAAGCAUACAGGCAUCAUUCACAUAUCUGUCAGAAAAUUAUGGAAUUAA